AGAGUUUGAUCCUGGCUCAGAGCGAACGCUGGCGGCAGGCUUAACACAUGCAAGUCGAGCGGGCAUAGCAAUAUGUCAGCGGCAGACGGGUGAGUAACGCGUGGGAACGUACCUUUUGGUUCGGAACAACACAGGGAAACUUGUGCUAAUACCGGAUAAGCCCUUACGGGGAAAGAUUUAUCGCCGAAAGAUCGGCCCGCGUCUGAUUAGCUAGUUGGUGAGGUAAUGGCUCACCAAGGCGACGAUCAGUAGCUGGUCUGAGAGGAUGAUCAGCCACAUUGGGACUGAGACACGGCCCAAACUCCUACGGGAGGCAGCAGUGGGGAAUCUUGCGCAAUGGGCGAAAGCCUGACGCAGCCAUGCCGCGUGGAUGAUGAAGGUCUUAGGAUUGUAAAAUCCUUUCACCGGGGACGAUAAUGACGGUACCCGCGAGAAUAAGCCCCGGCUAACUUCGUGCCAGCAGCCGCGGUAAUACGAAGGGGGCUAGCGUUGCUCGGAAUUACUGGGCGUAAAGGGCGCGUAGGCGGACAGUUAAGUUGGGGGUGAAAGCCCGGGGCUCAACCUCGGAAUUGCCUUCAAUACUGGCUGUCUUGAGUACGGGAGAGGUGAGUGGAACUCCGAGUGUAGAGGUGAAAUUCGUAGAUAUUCGGAAGAACACCAGUGGCGAAGGCGACUCACUGGCCCGUUACUGACGCUGAGGCGCGAAAGCGUGGGGAGCAAACAGGAUUAGAUACCCUGGUAGUCCACGCCGUAAACG
rnacentral:rRNA from 1 species